AAAUAUAAUGGGUCGAACAGACCGUCUCGUAUAAGCUUCUGCACAUAUACAAGUAUUUAAUUCAACAUCGAGGUCACAAACAUCUAUUCUGAUAAGAACUCUUAUAGAUAUAAUGCUGUUAUCCCUAGAGGAGCUAUUUUAUAAUUCCCAAAGGCUCAUUUAUAAUAUAUUUAUCUAAAUAAAAUUAUUAAUUUUUACCCCAAAAAAUAGAUUUUUAUUAUUAAUAAUAAAAUUUUAAAUCAACCAGCUUCAUAGGGUCUUCUCGUCUAAAAAAAUCUUCUAAGUAUUUUCACUUAAAUUAAAAUUUCAUAAAAAAAACUAAAAAAUUAAUUUUAGUAAAACCAUUCAUUCUAUUUUUCAAUUAAAAAACUAAUUAUUAUGCUACCUUAGCACUAACGCGGCUAUUUAAAUAUUUCAUUGAGCAGGUAUUAUAAAUCAUUUUUACGAUGUUUUUGAUAAACAGGCUAAAUUUUAUAUGUAGAGUAAUUUUUUUUAUACUGUGUUUUUAAACCUAAUAUUAUAAAAUUAUUUAUAUAUUUUACAAAUUAACUACUCAUAUAAAUAUUAUCUAUAAAACCAGUUUAUUACUUUUUAUAAAAUCUUUAAUUUGCACCCAUUAAAACUAUAAGAUUAACGAAUUUUAAUAUAUUCAUAUUAACAUUAAUAUUUUUACAUAAAACACUUUAUUUUGUUUUUUGCUAAUAUCUAAAGACUUAUCUCUAAAGAUUUUAAAUUUUUCUUUAACUAAGAUUUAAUCUAAUAAGAUUUAACAAGAAUUUAUCUAAUUUUAACAUAUCAUUCCAAAAAUUAUAUUUAUUAAAAUGUUACCACAUUUUAAACUUUAUAUUUUUUAUUCUAGAUUAUUCGUGAUUUUUAUUAUUAGUAUAUUUCAUUUAUACAUGAUGCAAAAGGUAUAAUUUCCCAAUUUAAAAAAUUUAAUUAUUUUUUAAUAAAAAAUUAAUAAUAAUAUAAUAAAAUUAAUUUAAAUAAAAAAUAAUUUUUACUUAGACUUUAUGUCUAUCCAUUUAUAUGUGUAUUUUUAUACCUCAGUCCUAGGACAUAAUUAAUUUACAAAAUUAAUAUUUUAAAUUAAAUUAUAAAGUAAAAUCAUCAGAUAUUUAUUUCUUAUAAAUGUUUUCAAAACAUUCUUUUAAAAUGAUUUUU
rnacentral:rRNA from 1 species